UGGGGAAUCUUGCACAAUGGGCGAAAGCCUGAUGCAGCCAUGCCGCGUGAGUGAUGAAGGCCUUAGGGUUGUAAAGCUCUUUCACCCGUGAAGAUAAUGACGGUAGCGGGAGAAGAAGCCCCGGCUAACUCCGUGCCAGCAGCCGCGGUAAUACGGAGGAGGCAAGCGUUAUCCGGAAUCAUUGGGCGUAAAGCGUUCGCAGGCGGCGAUUCAAGUCUGCUGUCAAAGCCCGCAGCUCAACUGCGGACAGGCAGUGGAAACUGAAUGGCUAGAGUGCGGCAGGGGUAGAGGGAAUUCCCGGUGUAGCGGUGAAAUGCGUAGAUAUCGGGAAGAACACCAGUGGCGAAAGCGCUCUACUGGGCCGCAACUGACGCUCAGGGACGAAAGCUAGGGGAGCGAAAGGGAUUAGAUACCCGCGUAGUCC
rnacentral:rRNA from 1 species